rnacentral:rRNA from 1 species
GACGAACGCUGGCGGCGUGCUUAACACAUGCAAGUCGAACGGAAAGGCCCUGCUUUUGUGGGGUGCUCGAGUGGCGAACGGGUGAGUAACACGUGAGUAACCUGCCCUUGACUUUGGGAUAACUUCAGGAAACUGGGGCUAAUACCGGAUAGGAGCUCCUGCUGCAUGGUGGGGGUUGGAAAGUUUCGGCGGUUGGGGAUGGACUCGCGGCUUUUCAGCUUGUUGGUGGGGUAGUGGCUUACCAAGGCGACGACGGGUAGCCGGCCUGAGAGGGUGACCGGCCACACUGGAACUGAGACACGGUCCAGACGCCUACGGGAGGGAGCAGUGGGGAAGAUUGGACAAUGGGCGCAAGCCUGGUCCAGCCAGUCCGCGUGGGUGAAGAAGGCCGUCGGGUUGUAAAGCCGUUUUGUGGGGAAAGAAAAGCAGCAGGUUAAUACCACGCUGUUCUGACGGUACCCAAAGAAGAAGCACCGGCUAACUUCGUG